GAUGGAAAGAAGGCAGUCAGCUCCGGGUUCAUAUAUCACAAACUGUGACACACAAAUAAGGCUAUCACAUCAUCAUGAUCAUCAGUGAAUUUUCCUUUGGCUUCCCGAGGGUGAUGCGUGUUAACCUAAACUGUUCUUUUCCAGCACAUCUUUUGUACAAGACCACUUUGUCGUCACAGGAAUACUGUCAGGACAUCAUGCUUCUGACCUUUGACCCCCCUCACUGCAUGCUUGUUAGGAACUGAAGCCUCCUCUACGCUCGCACUGAUUUAGGAACGUGAACCAAAUGCCUAAAACGCAAACUGAAAUAUCACAUCUCCGUGACCCCAAAACAGUCCUUGAGUACCCAAAGCUGCCGCUGUCUUGCUUGUCAGAUGUCAUUAAGUGGCAGGCACCUUCUCAAACACAGACAGGCAGACGGACAGACAAAUACGCCCCGUCUCCAUUCGCUCUCCUCAGCCAGGCCGUGACAAGCAGUGGGAUGUUAAGACUCAGUGAGGCCCAGUUGUAAAGACAGUGGAGUGCCUGGCUCCAGGCCAGACAGGCCACAGCGGGGCUAAACCCCGGCCAGCGGAGACGAGGCGGGAGACACACACAGACGCAAGCCAUGCAGGAGGUCAUGUCAGGAGUGAUCAGUGAAGGUUGGAGGGACCGGACCAGCAGCCUUUGAACUUUUGUUUACACAGUCAUCACACCGCUAUUCCUGCUCCCCUGAACGCACCACGCAUCUGUCCAAGCUCGACAGCCUCCUUGUUUCUUUUAUGUACACGAAAUAGAUAUUUAGUUGCAUUUUUUAGUAAAUCAGCGUAUUUGCUUGAUGGUUAAGGUAAAUCUGCGGAGGUCACAUUUUUCUUCUGUUAAAGGCUGGCAUUGACCCAAUCACCCAAGUUACUCUGACAAUUUUGACACGUUUAUAGAUAAAAAAAAAAAAAAAAGAAAAAAAAAUGUA